rnacentral:rRNA from 1 species
GACGAACGCUGGCGGCGUGCUUAACACAUGCAAGUCGAGCGGUAAGGCCCUUUCGGGGGUACACGAGCGGCGAACGGGUGAGUAACACGUGGGUGACCUGCCCUCAGCUCUGGGAUAAGCCCGGGAAACUGGGUCUAAUACCGGAUAUGACUCCAUGACGCAUGUUGUGGGGUGGAAAGCCUUGUGCGGCUGAGGAUGGGCCCGCGGCCUAUCAGCUUGUUGGUGGGGUGAUGGCCACCAAGGCGACGACGGGUAGCCGGCCUGAGAGGGCGACCGGCCACACUGGGACUGAGAUACGGCCCAGACUCCUACGGGAGGCAGCAGUGGGGAAUCUUGCGCAAUGGGCGAAAGCCUGACGCAGCGACGCCGCGUGAGGGAUGACGGCCUGGUU